CAGCUUCCCAUCCACCAGUACCCCCGGCUUCUUUUUGGCAGGACCAAGCUCUAGCCUUUCAUGCUCUGGCUUAUGUUAGUAGUGGAGGUUGCCUUGACCCAGGUGCAACGUGGAUUUGUUGAACAUCAUGAACUUCCCCUGGCCCUGCUACUCAAGCCCGUCUAGGUUCCUCUGCAUGGCACCCUGUCCCUCAUGCAUGUCGAGCACACCCCACAGCUUGGUGUCAUCAGCAGACUUGCUGAGGGUGCACUUGACCCCACUGACAAUGUCACUGAUGAACAUACUAAAGAGUAUUGAAGCCAGCACCCCAGGAGGAUACCUCUCAUCGCUGACCUCCAUCCAGACACGGAGCCAUUGACCACCACUCUCUGGAUUAGAUCCUGCAGCCAGGUCAUUGUCCAUCAAACAGUCUACCCUUCAAAUCGAUCUCUUUCCAAUUUGGAGGGAAGGAUGUUGUGGGCUGCUGUGUCAAAGGCCUUACUGAAGUCCAGACAGAUGACAUCAGUGGCUCUUCCCUUGUCCAUUGCUGCAGUGAUGCCAUUGUGGAAGGCUGCUAGCAUCACUUCCAGGAGGAUCUGCUCCACAAUCUUUCCCAGUACAGAGGUGAAACUGACAGGUUGGUAAUUUCCAGGGUUAUCCUUUUUACCCUUCUUAAAAAUGGAUGUGAUGUUGCCUUAUUUCUAGUUACCAAGGAUGAUCCCUUUUUGAAAAUCCCGAUGAUCCCUUGUUUUUUUUUUUUUUUUUUUUUUUUGUGUGGCCAUCCUCUGUAUGUGCUCCAACAGGUCCAUGUCUCUUCUGCACUGAGGACUCUACAUCUGGAUGCAGUACUCCAGGUGAGGCCUCUUCAGUACAGAGCAGAGGGGCAGGAUCACUUCCCUUCACUGCUGACCACUCUUCUUUUGAUGCGUCCCAGGAUAUGGUUGGUUUUCUGGGCUGGGAGGGCACACUGCUGGCUCAUGUCCAGCUUGCCAUCUACCAGUACCUCCAGGUCUUUUGGGACAUGCUUAUGCUCAGUCCUUUCAUCCCCCAGCAUGUAUUGGUAGUGGGGGGUCCUCUUGUCCCAUGUGCAAGACCCUGCACCUGGAUUUGUUGAACCUGAUGAGGUUUCAAAUCCGUUCACCUGUGCCUGCUGCUCGAGCCUGUUCAGGUCCCUCUGGUUGGUGUCCUGUCCCUUUGGUGUGUCACUGCACCCCACAGCUUGGUGUCGUCAGCAAAUUUUCUGAGGGCGCACUCGACCCCGCUGAUGAUGUCGCUGAUGAAGAUAUUGAAGAGUGUCAGCCUCAGCAUAGACCCCUGUGGGACAACACUCAUCACCAAUCGCCAUCUAGACAUGGAGCCAUUGAUCGCUGCUCUCUGGACUCAGUCCUGCAGCCGAUCUUUGUCCAUUCAACAGUCCACCCACCGAAUCCGUAUCUUUCCCAGCUUCCCAAAACAGCUUCCUAAAACUCAAUCCAAUCAAAAUUCUGUGCUGUCUAGUAACAAGGACUUCCAUCAGACUGAGAGCUCAGGCUUUACAGGCCAGUGGUGGAGCCAAGAGGGAGGCCUCUGGAUUUUCAGAAAGGACCGAGAAGGCUGAGAAUCAGGUGCUUUGUUUCACUCUUUUACUGGCUGUCUUACUUAAGGAUUCUGUCAGUCCAUAGGCACAUUUGGUUGGUUUGGCUGGAGCUUUGGAGCUUGGUGCUUAUGACUUCAGUUCUUUAUGACACGGAGCUGUGCCACUUGCUGCCUAGACCAAAUAUAUGUAUUGUUGUAGGAGAUCACUCUGUGCACUGUACUUUUUUAAAAUGCUUUGAAAUUGUGAAUGUGGUAUCUGCCUUCAAACAGGGAACAUAUAAAAGAAAUUUAUUUAUUUAUUUACUUAUUUCGUUUUCUUGGAGCAAUUGUUCAGGGAAAUGUGAAUUCUUUCUUCUCUGCUGCAUGUUUC
ensembl:lncRNA